AAUCAACGCUGGCGGCGUGCCUAACACAUGCAAGUCGAACGCGAGAGUCCCGCAAGGGACAAUUGAGUGGCAAACGGGUGAGUAACACGUGGGUGACCUGCCUUCGAGUGGGGGAUAACGUCCCGAAAGGGACGCUAAUACCGCAUGACAUCCUGCCCUUGGACAGGCGGAGAUCAAAGCCGGGGAUCGCAAGACCUGGCGCUUGAAGAGGGGCCCGCGUCUGAUUAGCAGUUGGUGAGGUAACGGCUCACCCAGGCGACGAUCAGUAUCCGGCCUGAGAGGGCGGACGGACACACUGGGACUGAGACACGGCCCAGACUCCUACGGGAGGCAGCAGUGGGGAAUUGUUCGCAAUGGGCGCAAGCCUGACGACGCAACGCCGCGUGGAGGACGAAGAA
rnacentral:rRNA from 1 species